ensembl:lncRNA
CUUCCUUACAGACUAUUUUCCACCUUACUUAUUCCAUUCUUGGAAAUUCCUUUUUGAAACAGCUUCUGGGGAAGAGGAAAGUACAUCACUAAGAAGAAAAAUGUCUCUCGUGUGCUAUUCUGGGGGAGCCCCAAGGACUUUAAGAAAUGCAAGAAUUGUGCUGCAGGCCCAAACUUAGAAACUGAAGGAAAGUGUAUACCAUAUUCCAAUUAUACUGCUUCAUGGCCUUGCAUAGCUGCUUUGAAGGACGGAUCUUUAAAGAUUUAUAAACUUGGGUGGGUGGAUGGGUAGGGGAAAGGACACCCACGCUUUCUUCCUGCUUCAAGCAUCCCAGCUCUCACUCUCUUUUUUCUCUAGUUUUGCAGCUCAAAAGCCCUGGAACAACUGCAGCUGGGUGAGUGUAAUAAACAGGUACCUGAGAAAAGGGGUCAAGUUCAAUAUGAUGUUUGCUGCCCAUGUCCCCAGACACUGUGGGCCCCCACAGUGCUCACUAAGCCCAGCUUCUUGCUGCCUGGCUUAGGACAGCUAGGGACGACCUUCAACAGAGGCCUUGAAGGAUAGUCAGUUUAAAGAGC